rnacentral:rRNA from 1 species
CAAUAGCGUAUAUUAAAGUUGUUGCAGUUAAAAAGCUCGUAGUUGGAUUUCUGGUCGGAAGCUCCUGUCCUCUGAUGAGCGUACAAGUGCGUCCUACCAUCCUUCUGUUAACCUUUAAGGCUUUCGCGGCUUUCUAGGGGCUCAGAUAUUUUACCUUGAGAAAAUUAGAGUGUUUCAGGCAGGCUAGCGCCGGAAUACAUUAGCAUGGAAUAAUGGAAUAGGACUUUUGCCUCUUCUGUUGGUCAUGGGGCUCGAGUAAUGAUUAAUAGGGAUAGUUGGGGGCAUUAGUACUUAACUGUCAGAGGUGAAAUUCUCGGAUUUGUUAAAGACUAACUUAUGCGAAAGCAUUUGCCAAGGAUGUUUUCAUUAA